UUUUUUUUUUUUAGAUUCUACAUAUAAGCGACAUCACACAAUGUCUUUCUGUGUCACUUAAUAUAAUGUCCUCUAGGUUCAUCCAUGUUGUGUCAAGUGAUAGCAGCUCACUGUUUUCUAUUGCUGAAUAAUAGUUCACAGGUAUUACUGUUUUUGUUUUCUUGCUAUCUAGUUACAUGAGUACCUUACAUAUUUUGGAUACUAACCCCUCAUCAGAUACAAGGUUUACAAAUACUUUCUCCUAUUCCAUUUGUUUUUGCUUUAAAUAACUGUGUUGGAAUAGUUUUUAUCCAGCAAUCACGUACCAAAACAUAUAUCAAAGUCUGAAUUUUAAAAAAUUCCCUAUUAAGAGCCCUUGCUAACAUUAUAUUAAGUAUAAUUUUAUUUUUGUGAAUGGCAGAUAUCAUAUGAUUUAUUGUCUUUCUUAUAAACAUGACUCUUUGGGAUCUUUGAGAUGAUAAGCAACACCAAUAUUAUAACCUAUUGAUGAGAUAAGUACAUAACUUUUGUUAUGAAGUAUGUACAAGUCAUUUUUGCUAGGCUUCUAGGACCAAAAUAUUCCACACUCGGUUUUAGGUCUUUUCUAUGGUAGCAUAGGUAAAACUAGGACAUAGACAUGGUAUCAUAUGGAUUUGGAAGGAAUGCUUUACCUUUUUAGAGGCAACUGACCGCCAUCAUCCUUACUUAUUUUACUUAACGAAGGAAUAAAGCUGAAUCCAUAUCUGUGGAAAUGCACAACUAGGAAAAGGUUGGUGCAGGGCUGUAGGGUAAAGCCACUUACAUUUCCUUUAGUAGUAGGUAGUCAUCAUUGUUACUUUCUGCUGACUUUUAAUUUCAUGCUCAGCACUCCUAAGCCAGUAAGCAUUUAAUCAGAUGUCUUCAAAUACCACUCAAGGCUUUAUAUUGAAGUACAACUUUAAUACUAUGUCAGAAAAAUUUGGAACAUGUUUCUUUUUCUUACUUUGUAAGAACAUUCAGAACAUUAAUAGUUUUUAAAAAUUCAGGUUGGUUGUCCUGAUGUCCUUUAAAGUAGGAUUUAAAUGGAUAAAGGCUUACUUUAUCAGGAACUACAAUCAAAUCUGACUGCUACAGAGCCAACUGCUCUAAUUUUUAUUAAAAGCAAUAGCAAGUUGAGAGACCAGAGGUCAUGGACUAGAAUCCUAUCUAUCUGUAUCUGAAAUCCAUACACUUUAAAAAGACAAAAUAGUCACUGAAAAUAUCUGGAGUAGACUUUUAACAUAAACAGGGAAAUUUCAUUUAGUUUUUGAAUCACAGCUUCUUGAGUAUGAAAGGCAUAGGGAAAUUUAAAAAGUAGGUAGCUUAUGUCAGGAAAAUACAUUCUAUUGACUUUCUAAAGGCAGUGGCUGAAGCCAGCAAAGUGUUGAGCAGCAAGCAUUUCUGUUGAUUCCUUUGUGGCCUCUGUGUGACCUGGUGGUUAUCUGAACUGAUAAAACAGAAAAGUUUCAAUUCCACCCAGAUGAAGGAAGGCAUUCACAAGGAAUGUAACCAGACUUUUAUUUUCAGGACAAGAACUUGAUGUUACAUAAAGCUUUGUGAAGUGCGGUUACUACAAGAGUUGGAAUAGUUUGAAUGGAAACGUGACUACUUCUAAAGGCAACAGAGAGAGAAGUCAGCAGAAUAGAUCACUGGAAUAGUUUGGACAAAUGAAAAUUUCUGCUAAACCAAUCAGCUUGGAAGGGGAACUGAAAUGAAAUGCGCUCCACUUUGCAUGAACUAAUCUCAUUUUACAUGCCUUCCAUAGAUUAGUUAUGUGUACACUACUGGAAUGUAUUUAAUCCAUGAAUAAGGCGGUCAUACAAGGUCAUUCUGGAAAUAAAAAUAAUAUACAGUAUAAACAACUGGAAUAAAUGUUGUGUCUAUUUGGUACUUGACAGAGAAGUUGGACUAUGAUAAUAUGCACAUGUGCAUUUGAAUAUCUCUUUAUAUUGGCAAGAAAGUCAAUUCAUCUUGUUUUUUGGUUUUUAUUGGAGCAAGGAUGUUUAACAUGAGAUCUACUCUUUUACCAUUUUUUCCAGUGUAUAAUACAGCAUUGUUAACUACAGGUUGAUUGCUCUUUAAAUUAGUUUUCUUACAUCAUCUUAACCAGCAGAAAAGUUCCAUAAAAUCAGUUAAAUUAGGAAAAUGAUCAUUUGGGAUGAACAAAACUGCUACUAACCAGACUUAGGAAGAUUGAGAUGUUGGUGGAGACCAAGUUCAGUGCCCCGCCUGGUGAGUGAAUGAACACUGUCGGAGGCAAUGGGGUGUGCAAUCCUGGUGUAUGGACUCUGACCUGAGUUUAAGACCCUCCUCUGCCACCUUAGUAGCUGAUGGCCCUUGUGAAGCUUCACUUCUUUGAGCCAUUGUCUCCCUGUCUAUCAAGCAGCUAUAAAAGUAGUACCUACCUGCAGGGCUGUUUUGAUGAUUAAAUGGGAAGAUGCAUGUGAGAAUAUUAACAUAUAAAUAUUUAGAGCUUCUCCACCUUCUUUACCCAUCAAACAUAGUGUGUGAAUCAAGACAGAUUAGGUUUUCCAUGAUAAAAAAAAUAAAACAACCCUCCAAUUUUCAUGCAGCCUCUUUAUGCUAAAUUCUCUGCAGACAAUUUUCUAAGCAAUUGUCCCCUAGGUGUUAGCUCAGCAUUUCAGCUUCUUUGAUCUUAUGGUACCUUGAUACCAACACAUGCUUCCACAAUACCCAACAGGAGAACAGAAGGCUAGAGCAUCAAGCACUAGUGGUGAUAUGAGGAUGGAGGCAGAGAUUAGAGAGAUGCAUGUGCAACCUAAGGAAGGUUAAAGAUUGCUCAGAGCUCCCAGAAGUGGAAGGAAGGAUACCUCUUAAAGCCUUUAGUGGAAACAUGGCUCUGCUGACACAUUAAUUUCAGACUCGUGCCCUUUAGAAUUGUGAGAGAAUAAAUUGCUGUUGUAGCAAGCCACCCAGUUUGUAGUAAAUUUAUUGCUGCAGCUUUAAGAAACGAAUACAGAUUUGAAGCCCAGUAUCUCUGGCAGCCUCUCAGUCUUUCCCGCUUUCUGUCAAGAUGGCUAUCACAUCACCAGGCAUCAUGCCCAUAUCCAAGAAAAAAUAAUAGAGAAAGAAUGUCACAAACACCUUUUGUCCCUUUAAUGAGAACAGCGAAAUUCUCCACUAAGUGAACCCCUCCAGCAGGCUUACUUUAUUUCUUCCUUAGCUGGGUCAGCAAUAAUAAGAUAUUCCUAGUUCAAACAAACCCUGAGAAAGUGAAGGAAAUAACCCCCAUGACUAGUUUAGAUCUGUCAGGAUUUCAUCGCUUGUUAACAGCAUAUUGCUCUUUCAAACAACAUCUCUGUUCUACAAAGCAGGAGAGAAAAGGUUAAUGAAUAUUGGGUAGGAAUAAAGUGUCAUUUGAAUCAAUGCUAGUUCAAUUAGUAUCACCUAAAAUGGGUAGGCUUAAGUAAGAUAUCAGAAGAAUUUUGGGUUCAAAUAUUGAUAUUUUUUAAUUUACAUAUUGAAUUUUACCUAUUUCUCAGUACAGAGCUCUUAUAGUAUAUUUAUAAUAUUUUUACUUAAUUCUAAUAAAUAUUUAUUUACAUGUUUGCUGUAAUUUGUAAAUAAAAUUCUUAUUUUUUUUUUAUUUUUUUUUGAAGUGCCGCACUCCUGGCGUUUGGAAGUUCCCCAGUUAGGAGAAUUGGAGCUGCAGCUACUGGCCUAUGCUGCAGCCACAGCAACACAGGAUCCAAGCCAUGUCUGUGACCUACACCACAUCUCACGGCAAUGCCGGAUCCUUAACCCACCGAGCGAGGCCAGGGAUUGAUCCUGCAUCUUCAUGUUCACUACGUGUACACUAGGUGGGUUUGUUACCACUAAGCCAUGACAGGAAUUCCAUAAAAUUCUUAAUAAAGGUUACUAUUUUAAAUGUACUUUUUUCUUAAUGUAGUUAUAUAUAUUCUUCCUAAUGAAAUAUCUCAUUAUCAUUAUUUUACAACUUCUUGAAUGUAAAAUUUCCAAGUAAUUGUGAAAUUAUACUUUACUUUUAUUAUAAAAGCUUCAUAAUUCUUCACACCCCUUAGACUGUAUAAGAAACAUAUUUAAUAAUUAUAUAUAAUAAUUUACUCUUAUCAUAUAUGACACUUACAUAUCUGAAAGUACUUGCUCUCCUGAAAGAACAUGCCACAAUGACUUCUGUAUGCAUCAAACCAUUCGUGGGCUAAAUCCCAGACACUUCUGGAAACAUAAUUUCAUUCACAACUGUCUUAUCUUUAAUGUGAACAGCAGUAUAACAAUUUCAUCAUCCAGAUCUCUAAUCUAUAGCAGACUAUAAAUAGAAAAUUGUAGGUAUCUGAAAGGUAGGGAACCUGCUCUGUCCCCCUAGGUUCUUUAAAUUGUUCAUGUCCAUUAACACAAACUUAUUCUUUGUACAUAAAUGAUCAGUCAAAGUCAUGAAGAGUCACACAUUUAGCCAGACUGUCUUUAGCUCACUGUUUUUAAUCUCCUGGUUCUUGUAUCUUUACUGGUUCUGUCCAUCCUGAUACCCAUCUCUUGUUGCUCUGGUGCCUCUAACGUCUUAGUAGUUGACCAUUAAAUAUUAAAUUUCUUUCUCUGCUUUUUCACACACAUACACACACACUUCUGGUACUCCCUGUCCUUAUACAGGGUCUAACACUACAGGUAAGAGGAAGCCCCAUUUCUGGUUUGAGUUUCUCAGGACCCAUAGCAGUCAGCAUACUCUUUUCUUCCCUUUCCUCUAGAGGACAACAGACUACAAUAGAGAGAAAGGCUUGAUGAGCAAAUAGGGUGAAAGGAGACCAUGAACACUUAAACAACAACAACAGAAAAAAGUGAAGGAAAUGUGUGUGAUAUACACAUAUAUAUUUUUAUAUCCACCAUGUGUAUGUAUAUAUACAUACAUAGAUCCAUAUAUACUACCCAAAUAAAUAGGAGUUGGGUUUUAUUUCAAAGUUUUUUUGUGUCUGUUCUCACUAUUGACCUCAUUCUUAUACAUCACAGCCAUCUGGAACCACUCAGUGUAGGGACAAGCAAAUCUAUACAAUAUUCAUAUUACCAGUAUUAACGGCAUGCAUGUAUCUGUUACAGCAAGCUCAGUGGCUUUUUUUUAAAAACCAGAGCAGGAGUUCCUGUCGUGGUGCAGUGGUUAACGAAUCCGACUAAGAACCAUGAGGUUGCGGGUUCGGUCCCUGCCCCUGCUCAGUGGGUUAACGAUCCUGCGUUGCCGUGAGCUGUGGUGUAGGUUGCAGAUGCGGCUCGGAUCCUGCGUUGAUGUGGCUCUGGCGUAGGCCAGUGGCUACAGCUCCGAUUCGACCCCUAGCCUGGGAACCUCCAUAUGCCGCGGGAGCGGCCCAAAGAAACAGCAAAAAGACAACACAAAAAAAAAAAAAAAAAAAAAAAAAAAAA
ensembl:lncRNA